GUGCUCACUUCAGCGGCACUUAUACUAAAAUUGGAACAAUACAGAGAUUAGCAUGGCCCCUGUGCAAGGGUGACAUGCAAAUUUGUGAAGUGUUAUAUUUUUUU